GAUCAUGGCUCAGAUUGAACGCUGGCGGCAUGCCUUACACAUGCAAGUCGAACGGUAACAGGUCUUCGGAUGCUGACGAGUGGCGAACGGGUGAGUAAUACAUCGGAACGUGCCCGAUCGGUGGGGGAUAACGGAGCGAAAGCUUUGCUAAUACCGCAUACGAUCUACGGAUGAAAGGCGGGGGAUCUUCGGACCUCGCGCGGACGGAGCGGCCGAUGGCAGAUUAGGUAGUUGGUGGGAAUAAAAGCUUACCAAGCCGACGAUCUGUAGCUGGUCUGAGAGGAUGAUCAGCCACACUGGGACUGAGACACCGGCCCAGACUCCUACGGGGAGGCAGCAGGUGGGGUAAUUUUGGACAAUGGGGGCAACCCUGAUCCAGCCAUGCCGCGUGCAGGAUGAAGGCCUUCGGGUUGUAAACUGCUUUUGUACGGAACGAAAAGACUCUGGUUAAUACCUGGGGUCCAUGACGGUACCGUAAGAAUAAGCACCGGCUAACUCCGUG
rnacentral:rRNA from 1 species